UACGUAGGGUGCAAGCGUUGUCCGGAAUUAUUGGGCGUAAAGAGCUCGUAGGCGGUUUGUCGCGUCUGCUGUGAAAACCCGAGGCUCAACCUCGGGCCUGCAGUGGGUACGGGCAAGCUAGAGUGCGGUAGGGGAGAUUGGAAUUCCUGGUGUAGCGGUGGAAUGCGCAGAUAUCAGGAGGAACACCGAUGGCGAAGGCAGAUCUCUGGGCCGUAACUGACGCUGAGGAGCGAAAGCAUGGGGAGCGAACAGG
rnacentral:rRNA from 1 species